rnacentral:rRNA from 1 species
UGAGGAAUAUUGGUCAAUGGGCGCAAGCCUGAACCAGCCAUGCCGCGUGCAGGAUGAAGGCAUUAUGUGUCGUAAACUGCUUUUGUAUGGGAAGAAACCCUGAUACGUGUAUCAGGUUGACGGUACCAUAAGAAUAAGGAUCGGCUAACUCCGUGCCAGCAGCCGCGGUAAUACGGAGGAUCCAAGCGUUAUCCGGAUUUAUUGGGUUUAAAGGGUGCGUAGGCGGGAUAUUAAGUCAGAGGUGAAAUCUUGCGGCUCAACCGUAAUAUUGCCUUUGAUACUGAUGUUCUUGAGUACAGUUGAGGUAGGCGGAAUGUGUGGUGUAGCGGUGAAAUGCUUAGAUAUCACACAGAACACCGAUUGCGGAGGCAGCUUACUAAGCUGUUACUGACGCUGAGGCACGAAAGCGUGGGGAUCAAACAGG